GAUGAACGCUGGCGGCGUGCCUAAUACAUGCAAGUCGAGCGAAUGGAUUAAGAGCUUGCUCUUAUGAAGUUAGCGGCGGACGGGUGAGUAACACGUGGGUAACCUGCCCAUAAGACUGGGAUAACUCCGGGAAACCGGGGCUAAUACCGGAUAACAUUUUGAACCGCAUGGUUCGAAAUUGAAAGGCGGCUUCGGCUGUCACUUAUGGAUGGACCCGCGCCGCAUUAGCUAGUUGGUGAGGUAACGGCUCACCAAGGCAACGAUGCGUAGCCGACCUGAGAGGGUGAUCAGCCACACUGGGACUGAGACACGGCCCAGACUCCUACGGGAGGCAGCAGUAGGGAAUCUUCCGCAAUGGACGAAAGUCUGACGGAGCAACGCCGCGUGAGUGAUGAAGGCUUUCGGGUCGUAAAACUCUGUUGUUAGGGAAGAACAGGUGCUAGUUGAACAAGCUGGCACCUUGACGGUACCUAACCAGAAAGCCACGGCUAACUACGUGCCAGCCGCCGCCGUAA
rnacentral:rRNA from 1 species